UAAAAAAUAGUGCCACACAAAAUAAAAUAAAAUAAUUAUUAAUUUAAAUACAAGAAAGCAAAUAUCCAACAAAAAUUAUCACAUUAUAAUAUGUGCAUUACAUUCUCUGAAUUACUGAUCCGGCAUACAAAACCACUCCCAUUAACCCUCACCCAACCCAACCCCCUAAAUAAAGAAAAAAGAAAGAUAAAAAAGGAAAGACAAACACUCAUCAAACUCUGUAAACAUAAAUAGAGCUUAUCAAUUAAUGCUUCGCAGCAUAUUGGUUGAUUAAGGCCAGUGCAUUGCUAGUGACCUGAGCAAGAUUAGCGAUCCGGUUUCUAAUCGAAGCCUUAAUUCUACCAUUUAAAGCCCGACCCGCAAACCCAUCGGUACAGGUAUUCUCAUCGGUGAUAGCAGCACUGACCCAUGUCUCCACGUUGCUAACAUGCCACAAGAAAUCCUUCCCACGGCUAUGGUCCACUUCCUUGAGCUCACUCACCGAUUUGCUUAGCCGAUCUACACUAUCACUUGUCUCCUCUAUACAAUCUUUAAUAGCUGCGUAUUCUCUGGGCUUUAAUCCCUUGAAUUUCAAGAGCUUGCUUACGAAUCCCUUUGUGGAUUGGGCUCUGUCCAGGCUUACGGACAAGGCUGUUUUGAUUAGCUGUUCUUGGCUGUUCUUUAUGGUCUGUGCGUAACCGGAAAGAGAAGCGACGCACAGAUCGGGGUAAGUAGUGGGUUUGCAAGAGUUUUUGAUG
rnacentral:lncRNA from 1 species